GCCGUCUUAAGAAACCUGUCCUCCCGGCAGACCCAAACUCCCCUCUCAUAGAUCUUCUCUCUGACAGGCCCGGCUAAAACGGAGGAGGCAGAGCCGCCGGCCAGAUCAGUUGCCGGGCCACAGUCUGAUAAGGGUUUCUCCCCUGUCGCAGGGAGAUUGCGCAAUAAGCACGAGGUGGUACCAGAUACAACCUCCCAGGCUUUCCCACUUAGACAGGGAACCCGUGGCCAGACCCAAUACUGGCCGUUUUCAGCAGCUGACAUUUACAAUUAGAAACAACACAACCCUUCUUUCUCCAAAGAUCCAAUGGCACUCACCGACCUAAUAGAAUCUGUUUUACUUACCCACCAGCCUACUUGGGAUGACUGCCAACAGCUCUUACAGGCCCUCUUAACCUCAGAAAAAAAAAAAACAAGGAGUGUUCCUAGAGGCCAGAAAGCAUGUUCUGGGAGAUGAUGGGCGUCCCACCCAGCUGCCUGAGGACCAAACUGGGAUUUUAAUACAGCUGAAGCUUCAGGACAACUCAGCGACCGGACGGCCUGGGUACAAGGAGCUACUGGUGAGAAACAAUACCGAUGGACUACGGACCGCCGGGUUCAGCUGGCUACUGGUAAG
rnacentral:lncRNA from 1 species